GCUCAAACUUUGUUUGGUUUGUAUCACGUUGAACAGUCUGAGUCCCACCUCACAUGAGCCUGACAUAUAAAUCUUAGGGUUUGUUGUUUUAAUUUCGGAGUCUGAAAGCAGCAUUUCUACACAGACUCUCCAAGGAGAAGAAAGAGAUCACUGGAGUGCCUAUUUUAGAGUGGACGUCCCUUUCUGAACACAACCUUUCUAACCAAGCAACCUUCCACCUCAGUUGGGUCUAUUUUGGUGAAGCAACUAAACUUUACUUGGUUUAAUGCAGCCAUUGCCGUUUUCCUCGGGUUGACCUCAAUCACUGGAGCAGGACUACAGUGCGUGCUGCAUUUAAUUAUCUACAGUGAAUUUGAUUAUCAGGAAAUAUGGUGCAUAUCAAGUGAAUUCCUGCCCUCUAGAAAUAUUUAUUUUCUGUAUGGUUAAAGUUGGAAAAGGAUGACAUGGGAACUUCAGUCGAUACAAAAGGCGCCAGCUAAUGAGACUGGUUAGUGAUUCAAAUUUAUGGAAAUUUUAUUAAUUACAGAAACCUAUCUUUCAUCCGUACCAUUUGGUUCGUGAAGUAAUUAAAGCCAACAAUGGCUGCUGCUGCAGUUAAGGAACCAAACAAGAUCAAAGAAGACGGAGCAUUGAGGAGAAAGUCCUGCAUAUCCUGAUCCGGGCCUAGCCGUGGGCAGCAUGGCCUCAUUAAAACCAAAUCGAGCUGAUCAUCAAUUAACCUGCUUUGUUUUGCUUCUGAUUUGUAACUUGCAUCACAACAGUUCCCCACAGUUAAAAGUUUUUGCCAGAGGGGAAGGAGGCUUAUAAGGGCUGUCUUUGUGGUAAGGAGGGACGACUUUUGAUUGGUCGACUAGAGAGAAAGCAUGACCUUUACCUCUCUAAGGACUUAAUAAACAUUCAGAAGAAUUUUACAUUUUAACCUAAAUCUCCAGUCAUCGUUGUUUUUGAUGUAACAAGUGAAAAUUGAAACAAAACCAAAAAAAAAAACAGAAAUCAUCUAAACAUUUGUUUCUAAUUUUAGUCACUUGAACAAAUUGAUGUUUAUGAAACAUUAUGUUACAAAUUUAAUUACUUUCACAACAUGCUGGAAAAGAAUGCAAACAUCAAAUUUGUGACUGUUGAUCAAACUUGACUGUUGUCACUGUUUUUCAGAUGAAGAAAAUCAAAGGAAAACAUUUGAUGCAUUUUAUUUUUAUGUGAAGUAUAUAAAUAUAUUUCCUUAUAAGGUGUGUUCUGAAGGUGACUGCCUG